UGGGGAAUAUUGGACAAUGGGCGCAAGCCUGAUCCAGCCAUGCCGCGUGUGUGAAGAAGGCCUUUUGGUUGUAAAGCACUUUAAGCGAGGAGGAGGCUACUUGGAUUAAUACUCUAGGAUAGUGGACGUUACUCGCAGAAUAAGCACCGGCUAACUCUGUGCCAGCAGCCGCGGUAAUACAGAGGGUGCGAGCGUUAAUCGGAUUUACUGGGCGUAAAGCGUGCGUAGGCGGCUUCUUAAGUCGGAUGUGAAAUCCCUGAGCUUAACUUAGGAAUUGCAUUCGAUACUGGGAAGCUAGAGUAUGGGAGAGGAUGGUAGAAUUCCAGGUGUAGCGGUGAAAUGCGUAGAGAGCUGGAGGAAUACCGAUGGCGAAGGCAGCCAUCUGGCCUAAUACUGACGCUGAGGUACGAAAGCAUGGGGAGCAAACAGG
rnacentral:rRNA from 1 species